rnacentral:rRNA from 1 species
CGAACGCUGGCGGCGUGCUUAACACAUGCACGUCGACCGGUGAAGCUCCAGCUUGCUGGAGUGGAUCAGUGGCGAACGGGUGAGUAACACGUGAGCAACCUGCCCCUGACUCUGGAAUAAGCGCUGGAAACGGCGUCUAAUACUGGAUACGAGAAGGGUCCGCAUGGGCACUUUCUGGAAAGUUUUUCGGUUGGGGAUGGGCUCGCGGCCUAUCAGCUUGUUGGUGAGGUAAUGGCUCACCAAGGCGACGACGGGUAGCCGGCCUGAGAGGGCGACCGGCCACACUGGGACUGAGACACGGCCCAGACUCCUACGGGAGGCAGCAGUGGGGAAUAUUGCACAAUGGGCGAAAGCCUGAUGCAGCGACGCCGCGUGAGGGAUGACGGCCUUCGGGUUGUAAACCUCUUUCAGCAGGGAAGAAGCGAAAGUGACGGUACCUGCAGAAGAAGCACCGGCUAACUACGUG